GCAAACUUGGUCAUUUAGAGGAAGUACAAGUCGUAACAAGGUUUCCGUAGGUGAACCUGCGGAAGGAUCAUUAACGAAUCGUGCUUUGCCCUUGAGGCAAACAUUAGUGCUCUCCAGGCAACUGGGGGUGCAAAAUAUAUGAGAUAGUGUUUUUGUGAUGUGAUUUUUUGUUGAUGAUGUAUAUAUCAUUUUAUGUGCUAUAUAUCAUUACAUGCAAUAUAUAUGACACUUUUAACAAUGGAUCUCUUGGCUCUUGCAUCGAUGAAGAACGCAGC
rnacentral:misc_RNA from 1 species